CAGGAGCAGUGAUGGCGGUCUUGAGCAUUUGGUGAAGAUUCUCUCACAUUUAUCUAAUUUCCUCCACUCCCAGACGUCAGGUGGCCAGCAGACUCAGACCGGAGCACUUGACGGAGGUGGAGCGCAUCUUGGACAAUAAGCCAGUUCGCCCCCCGAUGGUCUCAACGCUAGCCCAAAGAUGACAAGAGCUCACAGCGGCUGGAGCGGAGGAAAUAUUAGAAGACGAGGAGCCGGUGGAAACAAAAACGCCAUUUUGUGUUAUAAUGUAAGGAAAAAAGAAGAAGAAGAAGAAGAAGAA